GAGCGCUGAGGACACACCAGUAGGAGGAGGCAGCAUAAACUCUCAAAGCGAGAGUCCACAGUGGUUCCCAGUCUCCUCUUUGGAUACCCGGGCACUGCCAACAAAUGGCAGGAAGAAGGAUUCAAGAACCCUUUAUCCUGGGACAUCUCUACACUGGGCAGAAAGGGGAGGCAGAGCCCAGUAUGAGUGGAAUCCAGUCUGAUCAGAAGCACUGAGUGAGAAAAUUCCUAAGUGCUUUUGAAGGUGACUUUUGCUUUCCCUCUUCCUCCCAGAGACCUGGGUGACAGAUUAUGCUGGGCUUGACAGGAUCAAGAGGAAGCUAGGAGACAAACCUCCAGACACGCCUGCGAGGGAUUAUCUAGAAGAAAAUAAUUGAAGCAGGAAGACCUGCCUUAACUGUGGGUGGCACCAUUCCUUGGGGUGAGGUCCUGGAUUGAGGACAAAGUAGAAGGUAUGUUGUCACAACGAGGAAACGAGAAAUGUCUUGGUCAGAGUAUUUGAAGCAGGAAGACCCAGGACGCAGGACUGCCCUUCUCUUGGCAGUCUACAUAAAAGGACACGGAUGAAGGAAGCAUUGCUCUUUGCUUCACACUUGCUGAUGAGUUGAGCUGGAAAGAUCCUGUUGCUGUGGCAUUCCUUGACCGAUAUUAGAACUUACUUCCUCAGGAUUCCAAGGUAGAUUGAAGACCAGCAUCUCCCCAGGAAUCCUCCAGGCCUUCAGUGCCAUUUUGAGACUACUGGGACAUUCAGCCUCAUGAUUCUUUGU
rnacentral:lncRNA from 1 species